GCGGGGACGACGGACCCGGUCCCACCGCACCCCGGAACAAACGGAAACAGUCGCUCCGAAUUGCCAGACACUCCGCUUUUGUAGCGGAUCCCGCAUUUCCAGAAGGAAAGCGUAGCGAUACAACUGCCUAAACUCAGGGUUACUGCCGUGGCAGCUGCUGGGAUCCUGGAGAGAGUUCUUCUCACCACUGCAAUCUGUGCUUUGUAUCUGCCUUUGUAAACACGAGGAAUAGUGCAACCCUGCCAUGGACAGCAUGCCCUGAAUAGCUUCUUCCUCUGUGCUCGUCGAGGUAGGACAUUCCCU
rnacentral:lncRNA from 1 species